GAAAACAAAAUGGCCGCUGCUUUGUUAGAGAGAAAACUUGUGUCGUUCAGUGUCGUGACUUUUUUCACUUAUUUUUGCUAAAAUAAUUAUUAAACAAUUAUAAAUUGUUGAUAAAUCGGUUAAUUAAAUUUUUCUGAACAGAUUGUGAUAUAAAUUAUUGCUAACUUUUGUGAAUUUUGGCCAAAAUUAAUGGACAUGUCAAAGCUCUUGGAGCUGACAAAAGGCAAAUGUUAAUUUGCUAAAUAACAGACAAAUGAUAACAAAAAGUGCGUCUGAAACGUCUAAUGUGUUGAUAUAAUUUAACAAACACAAUUUUUAUAACUGGAACCAAAAAAAUGACUGAAUUGGUUUGUUAUUAAGGAGAAAAUCAUAUUUGAGUAUAUUUAAUAAUUUAUUGUUACAGUUGCAUCAAAUUUAUUCAUGGGAAAAACAUUAGUCUUGAUAAUAUAUGUCAUAAAAUAUUUAAAAUAAUUGAAACAACUGAGACUGUUUUUAUGCUAAAAUAUAACAUGAAAAAUACCAAGUGAAUGAUGUUAAUGUUAAAAGUGUCAUAAGACAUUAGUUUGUGUUACCAAGUGCUUUAAAAAUUAAGUGAAUUAUUGAUAAACUAUUCGAUGAUACAACGAUCAUAUGAAAUACUGGUAUACUUGAACCAUUAACAAAGUGUUUCAAGACAUGAUAUUAUGCUUCAACAAUGAUGAAUCUAUCAUAAAGAAAAUCAUUACUUAAUUAUUUACAUUUGGCAUGUACAAUUGAAUUUAAAAAAUGUCAAGUUUCAAUGAAAUCCAACAUCUCAUGAGUUAUCUGAUGUGAUUUUAUCUAUCUUUUACUGGACAACAAUCAAUAACAUCACAUGGUGCUGGUAUUAUU